rnacentral:rRNA from 1 species
GACGAACGCGGCGGCGUGCCUAAUACAUGCAAGUAGAACGCUGAAGGAGGAGCUUGCUUCUCUGGAUGAGUUGCGAACGGGUGAGUAACGCGUAGGUAACCUGCCUGGUAGCGGGGGAUAACUAUUGGAAACGAUAGCUAAUACCGCAUAAUAGUAGAUGUUGCAUGACAUUUACUUAAAAGGUGCAAUUGCAUCACUACCAGAUGGACCUGCGUUGUAUUAGCUAGUUGGUGGGGUAACGGCUAACCAAGGCGACGAUACAUAGCCGACCUGAGAGGGUGAUCGGCCACACUGGGACUGAGACACGGCCCAGACUCCUACGGGAGGCAGCAGUAGGGAAUCUUCGGCAAUGGACGGAAGUCUGACCGAGCAACGCCGCGUGAGUGAAGAAGGUUUUCGGAUCGUAAAGCUCUGUUGUAAGAGAAGAACGAGUGUGAGAGUGGAAAAGUUCACACUGUGACGGU